UAAAAGCAAGUGAAUAAUAACCCUCGCCCA
rnacentral:piRNA from 1 species